UAGAUUUCGGGAGAGACGGAAUGUGAAAGAGAGGAGAGUCCUUGGGAGAUGUUGGAAUGAUCUAAUUUUAUUUUUAUUUCUCUCUGUUUCCAGUCAGCCAGGAAAGCAGUCAGACGUGUGUCGGUUGUUUGGAAAUGCUGAACGAUUUUAAGUGCACCAAGAAAGGGCAGAUACGCUGUCAGGGGACACAGACCAAGUGUGGAAGACUUCAACAUUUCCUCGCGGGCACCGGUCGCAAUUUAACAAUCGAUUUCCAAGGAUGUCUGUCUGACUCGAUUUGUCACCUGAAUUCCACGCGGAUGAUCUUCGGAAUGGAACUGCAGAAAGGCUUUGAGUGUUGUGAUGACCGACUGUGCAAUGGGAGUGCCAGAACAGAGAUGGGUGCUCUCUGCCCUCUCCUGCUGAGCUUGUAUCUGCUCCUUAUCAGUCUGAACUGACCCUCUGUGAUGUUCUAAUGGUGUACGUCGCUCUGUUUACCUGUAAAUACCUCCCUUUAUUUAUCGGAAUCUCCUCCUGUAUUUAUUGCGAAUUCCUGUCGCCUCUGAUCAUCUUGUUGGGAAGGGGGAUCUGGGGAAAUGAGUGGAAGGCUCUGCCCUGGACUGGGACUGAGUGGAGCCCAUCAGCAAUACACUUGAUCAAUGUUUUAUCGCUUUUGUUUCUGACAGAUGUCUGCCUGUGCUGUGGCUCCGAACCCCAGGGCUCCCCUCCCUGUCCCCUCUCCACACCCCCCCCCCUCCCCUCAGACAGUCCACUCCACACUCUCGGACGGUCCCCUCCAGACCCUAACCCCACUCCCUACACUGAACCGCAACUCCCCCACACUCCUCGGACAGCGCACUCCAAACCGAGACCACAGCAGGAGGCCAUUCAGGGACCUACUCCUGCUGCUAUCCUCUUGUUUUGAUGUUAAAAAAAGAGGCCAUUGGAAAAGUUAAUGCUUUUGUUUAUUAAUGUGGCUGUUGUUUUUAUAUUGCAAUCUGUUCCAUGAUUGUGUACAUUGUAAAUAUACAGGAUAUUAAUGUCUAUUAAAAAUACUGCUCUCUCACA